GAAGCUGGAGAGAUGAGAACCAAAUGCAUCACUGCAUGCCUCCAGGAACAGUGAUCAACUGGUGUUUUGGGUCUCUCCAAUACCC
rnacentral:miRNA from 12 species